CAUUGAAUUCUGGUGCAACUGAGGAGAUGAAGCCAAUUGCUGCUGCAAAAGAACCUGUGACUGCCUCUGGUGCUGUUGAAGACGAAGAGGUGAGACUGGGCCAGACAUUGCCGGCAUUUGCUUCAACCAUUGAUGCUGUGACAAAGAGUUCUGCAUCAUAGCUGGUUGUGCAUUCUGAGCCAGACUAGAUAGCUGAGGGCUCAUAAAUGCCAGUGAUGAAGUCCUUGAUAGGUUUUGAACCUGAGGAGAGGUGAGUGGAUUUUGUUGUGCCAGUUGCUGUCUUAUUUGUCCUACAUUCAUCCUUUGCUGGGCAUAACUAAGAGCACCGUUAGGCCUUAGUUGUGAUGUCAAAUUGAGUGACCCCAUCAUUCCCAUAGCUUGCAUUCCUUGCAAAGGCUGACCUGGAGAAUUACCAGGAUGGAAUUGAGACCC
rnacentral:misc_RNA from 1 species